rnacentral:rRNA from 1 species
AUGGCGGGGCGCAAGGAGACGGCGCUCAACCUGGCCAAGUUCGUCGAUAAGGGCGUCCAGGUCAAGCUCACCAGCGGCCGCCAAGUUACAGGAACUUUAAAGGGAUAUGACCUACUGCUGAACUUAGUGCUGGAUCAAGCAGUCGAGUCUGAAAGACGCAUCGUCGACAGGCUGAACGUCGUUGACCACAUCAAGGUUCUGACAAGGACACUAGCUAGAGCGCACUGCCGCUCCUCUUCUUGCAUGCAACAUAAUCUGAAAUUCAUUCAGUUCCACUAUGCAUAA